rnacentral:tRNA from 1 species
GCCUGUGUGGCUCAGUAGGUUGAAUGUCUGACUUCAGCUCAGAUCAUGAUCCCACAGUCUUUGGGUUCAAGUCCCACGUCGGGCU